GACGAACGCUGGCGGCGUGCUUAACACAUGCAAGUCGAACGGAAAGGCCCUGCUUUGGUGGGGUGCUCGAGUGGCGAACGGGUGAGUAACACGUGAGUAACCUGCCCUGUACUUUGGGAUAACUUCUGGAAACUGUGGCUAAUACCGGAUAGGAGCUCCUGCUGCAUGGUGGGUGUUGGAAAGUUUCGGCGGUUGGGGUUGGACUCGCGGCUGAUCAGCUUGUUGGUGGGGUAGUGGCUUACCAAGGCUUUGACGGGUAGCCGGCCUGAGAGGGUGACCGGCCACAUUGGGACUGAGGUACGGGCCAGAGUCCUACGGGAGGCAGCAGUGGGGAAUAUUGCACAAUGGGCGGAAGCCUUAUGCAGCAACGCCGGGUGCGGGAUGACGGCCUUCGGGUUGUAAACCGCUUGCGCCUGUGACGAAGAGUGAGUGACGGUAAUGGGUAAAGAAGCACCGGCUAACUACGUG
rnacentral:rRNA from 1 species